rnacentral:rRNA from 1 species
CCUUAUCGUACGGGAGGCAGCAGUGAGGAAUAUAGGGCAAGAAUCGCAAGCCUGAACCAGCCAUGCCGUGAACAGGAUGACGGUCCUAUGGAUUGUAAACUGCUUGGGGGAGGGAAGAAACACUUAAUACGCGUAGAGGCUGACGUACCGCAG